rnacentral:rRNA from 1 species
UACGAAGGGGGCUAGCGUUGCUCGGAAUCACUGGGCGUAAAGCGCACGUAGGCGGAUUCUUAAGUCAGGGGUGAAAUCCCUGGAGCUCAACUCCAGAACUGCCUUUGAUACUGGGAGUCUCGAGUCCGGGAGAGGUGGAGUGGAACUGCGAGUGUAGAGGUGAAAAUUCGUAGAUAUUCGCAAGAACACCAGUGGCGAAGGCGGCUCACUGGCCCGGUACUGACGCUGAGGUGCGAAAGCGUGGGGAGCAAACAGGG